CUAAUACCGCAUAACAUCGCAAGAUCAAAGCAGCAAUGCGCUUGGAGAGGGGGUCGCGGCUGAUUAGCUAGUUGGCGGGGUAACGGCCCACCAAGCGAAGAUCGGUAUCCGGCCUGAGAGGGCGCACGGACACACUGGAACUGAAACACGGUCCAGACUCCUACGGGAGGCAGCAGUGGGGAAUUUUGCGCAAUGGGGGAAACCCUGACGCAGCAACGCCGCGUGGAGGAUGAAGCCCUUUGGGGCGUAAACUCCUUUCGACCAAGACGAUUAUGACGGUACUGGUGGAAGAAGCACCGGCUAACUCUGUGCCAGCAGCCGCGGUAAUACAGAGGGUGCGAGCGUUGUUCGGAAUUAUUGGGCGUAAAGGGCGCGUAGGCGGUGCCACAAGUCACUUGUGAAAUCUCCGGGCUUAACUCGGAGUCUGCAGGUGAAACUGUGGUGCUGGAGUGUGGGAGAGUUGCGUGGAAUUCCACGGUGUAGUCGGUGAUAUGCGUAGAUAUCGGGAGGAACACCUGUGGCGAAAGCGGCGCACUGGACCAGAACUGACGCUGAGGCGCGAGAGCUAGGGGAGCAAACA
rnacentral:rRNA from 1 species